rnacentral:lncRNA from 1 species
GUAUGAAACAAAAUUAUAACCUCUAUUUGAAAUAUACAUAAACAGAACUCAAAUCUAAAACUACCAAGGACAAUGGAAGCCAUGUCCAGACAACGGGUACAUCUUCAAUACCAACUCCCGCCAUGCACAACAGCAUUAGCUCCAAGAUCUGCACACAAAUUGCAGAAGUAUAGUAUGAGUACAACCGACCCCAUGUACUCAAUAAUUAACAAAUCUAACCUUAGGUUGAAAGCAGUAAUGAGCUCGGACGAAGGUCAGUGUCCAACACCAAUUGCCAAAAACAACUCGUAUAAAAUAAUUAGGACAAUAAUGGUAAAUAACUCAAGAGAUAUUACGCUCAGCUCGUUUACAUUUAUGGAAAAGUAGACAUGAUUUUCAAGUAUAACAGUCAAAGUCCAAAUCUUACCAUGGAAAUCAUUUAGAUAUGAGUUUAUAAAAAAGAACUGUAUUUUCCAAUUCACAACAUCAGAUAAGACUUUUUGUUUACGAGUUAACAUAAGAAAAUACAUCUUUAUACCUACAUGUCAAUGUACAUGUCAAGUCAUCAAAUGUCAUAUUACCGUUUAGCAUGAGGUAAAAUACAUCUAUAUGCCUACAUGUCAAGUCAUCAAAUGUCAUAUUACCGUCUAGCAUAAGAAAAAUACAUCUCUAUGCCUAUAUGUCAGAUAUACAUGUCAUGUAAAUAGUUUCAUAAUGAUAUCAUCAAGUACACUCACUUUCAGCAUACUCAAGGUGCCUGGCUCAAAUAUCCCACUUCAUCACACACAAUCACUCAACAUUGUACGGGUGCCUGGUUCAAAAGCCCCUCACCAAAGCACAUGUAUAUAUCACUGUGGCUAUGGCCACUGCUGGCAUGUCAUAUUCCGAAGGGGCAAAUCUUGCCCAAGCGCUAAUCAAAAGCCAAUAUGGCCUAUUGCAGCGUGCAACCUGAUCCAAAUAAUAAUAAAGCCAAUAUGGCCUGUUGCGGUGUGCAGCCCGAUCCAAAUAACAAUAAAGCUAAUUUGGCAUAUUGCGGCGUGCAACCCAAUCCAAAUAUCUCUCAACAAGGUUCUAAGGCCCACCUACGUCAUCAACCUCUUAAGUCUCAAAGGCUCACAAUCUCAUAUCACUCAACCCAUACAGUACCACAUGUGGAAAACAACAACAACAACGUGUGAUAUAACAAUGAAUAAUGAACAGAGACUGAGAUACGAUAUGCAAAUGAAGAAUUAUGACCGAGUGUAUAACUACAGUUAAGUCAGAUAUAUUAAAACAAUAGAAAUAGCCUCAUUAGGUCUCAAUGAAAUAAACACAUAGCCUAGACAUGAUUUCUAACAUGAAUCACAGCUCAAAUAAUCAAACAAGUAGGAAAAACAGGAAUAUAACAAGGUAUGAUAGCAAAACAAGUAUGAUAAUAGUCUAAAAGUCAACUCAGAUCAUGAUUACUCCGGUGCACGCCCACACAUCUGUCACCUAACAUGUGCAACAUCCCAAUACAUCUCAUAUAACAUGGUUCCGGGGGAUAAUUGCCCUCAAAUUCAAGUUUAGAUAUGGUACUUACCUCGAACAAGCCAAAUCAAAUACCAAGCAAGCCAAAUAACAAUUUAGAAACUCCAUCCCAUGCGAACCGACCUCCAAACGGCCCGAAACUAGCCAAAAGCAACUCAAAUCAUCAAAUAAUGCCAUAGAAAACAAACCCAAACGAUAAAGGUCGAAUCUUUAAUCAAAUACUCAAAGUCAACCAAAAAGUGAACCCAGGCCCGCACCUCGGAACCCGACAAAACUCACAAGUUCUGGCAACUCAUUUGAAUACGAGUCCAACCAUACUAAUUUCACUCAAAUCAGACUCUAAAUCGAUUUUCACAUCUCAAAUAUUCAAUUUAGAAAAGUUUAGACAAAACCCCCCAAUUUAUCUUUUAGAAUCAUAAAUCAAUUGUCAAAAUCGAAGAUGGAAUCAUGGAAUAUAAUCAAAACCGAGUCAAAAAUACUUACCCCAAUUCAUAUGGUGAAAAUCCUCUCAAAUAUCGCCCAAAACUGAGCUCCAAAUCUCAAGUUGUAAUAAAAUGAACCAAAAUUUCGAUAUAUAAACUUCUGCCUAGGGAUUUCCGCAUUUGUGGACAAGACAUGCACUUGCAAGCCCGCAUUUGCGACUUCAACUUACCAGACCAAGAACCGCACCUUCGCAACUGCUACUGCAUCUGCGAGACCGUAGAAGCACAAAAUACUACCGCAGAAGCGAACAAUUAAUUCCAGCCUCAAUCCCGCAUCUGCGAUCCAUUUACCGCAGAUGCGACCACCGAACCUGCGACCCUUCACCCGCAGAAGCGAAACACCUAACCAUGCCAGAAUCUCGCAGAGGCGACCCAAACCUCGUAGAAGUGGUACCCGUAUCUGAGCUCCAUUAUGCGCAGAUGCGAAACACCAAAACCAAAUCUGCCCAAAAACAUGAAAAUGAUCUGAAACUCACACGAGCCCAUCGGGAUCCCAUCCGAACAUACUAGCAAGCCCCAAAACAUAACACAUGCCUACUCGAAGCCUCAAAUCACACCUAAUAACAUCAAAAUUACGAAUCGCAUCUCGAAUCAAACUUAAUGAACUUUCAACUUCUAAGGCUCGUGUCGACCCACAUCAAAUCAAUUCGGAAUGACCUCAAAUUUUGCACAUAAGUUCCAAAUGACAUCACAAACCUAUUCCAACUCUCAGAACAACAAUCUGAACCCGAUAACAUCAAAGUCAAAUCCCGGCCAAACUUAUGAACAUUUCAAACCUUCAAAUUUCCAACUUUCACCAAAUAGUGCCAAAGCCUUCUAGAACAUCCAAAUGCAAUUUCAGGCAUACGCCCAAGUCCAAAAUCACCAUCGGACCUAACAAAACCAUAUAAACUUCGAUCCGAGGUCAAAUACACAAAAAUCAAACUUGAUCAACUCUUCCAACUUAAAGCUUCGAAAUUGAGAAUUAUUCUUCCAAAUCAAUCCCGGACCAUUCAAAAACUAAAAUCAACAAUACACGUAAGUCGUAAUACACCAUACGAAGUUACUCAUAACCUCAAACUACCGAACCGAAUGCAAAUGCUCAAAACGACCGGUCGGGUCGUUACCUUCUCCCCCACUUAAACAUACCUUCGUUCUCGAACGUGCCAAUAGUCGUUCCAAAGCCAUCAAAUCGACAUAUAACCUCCCCGUACACAUACCCGUGGGUGAUCCCACAUCACCCAAUCGAUAUAAGCCUAACCGCAUAACCUAGCUGAAAAUCCUUACUUUAGCCUUACCCCACAACCUUGGAAUCAAAUCUCCAAUAUCCAGAAUCCGUUACAAGAACUGAUUCUCACAUCUAUACACUGUAUAAGUAUGAACAAGAUAUAUCACGCCAUAAUCAUAACACAGAAAUGUAAACACAUGAUAUACCACAUAACUAAGAUACUCGUAGCCAUAGCUUCCAGCCAUAAUAGCUGCUCAAUAACAAACCCAGUACCGGUAACAACCUCAUAUCAAUUAAAACUUAGUUUUGAACCAUCGUACACUGCCAGUGAUGAAAGAGACACGCAGAUACUCCUAACCACUCAUCAUAUCAACGAGUCGUGGAGCUCUCUCUCACGAUAAGAACCAUAGCCAAAUUCUAAGUUGACUAGAGACGUUAUUCCUCCAAACAUACCUUAAUCAAAUAUGAUAGCACUCAUUCGAGGUUCAAUAACCUCAUCUCAUCAAGUACAAGUUGGUUGGACAACAUGCCACACCAGCACCACCUCGAUCCACAUAGUUGUUUUUUCCGCAACUUAAAUCCAAUUUUUUCCAAACUUUAUAUUUUAUAUCCAAACAUCAUAUAUAGUCAUAUUAUGACUUUACACUCAUUUGAAUUAUGAUUAACAAGUCUCAUAUUCAUUAUAAGUCACCUUGGGACGCACACGGUGUAACAAAUUCCAUGUAUAUUGGGAGAAAAUUGCAGCUACAUUUGACCUGAUUUUUAGCACAUUUAUGAAUGUAACUUGUGAUGACCUUUGCCAACUUUUGUUCCAAAACUUGUUUGACUUUAAAAUAUAAUACACGACUAUCAUACGACUAAAAAAACUCAUAACAUAACCUCCUUAUCAUGUUAAGCACCCUAUUUUUAUCCCAAGAGUAAAUGUUAUAAUAUUCCCAACUUGUCGACUUUCGACGAAACUUAUUUUCUUCAGUUUGUUUAGCUUUUAAGUCUUUCAGCCCUCUUGGUACUUGUUAUUCAUGAUCUUAAAGAUUUGUAACCUCUAAGGUAACAUAUUUAAAUUACCUUAUGUACUUUAAAAAUGAUCUCAUGUCUGAGCUUACAUCAAUGGUCUUACGACGUACUUUUACGUACAAAAAUAUGGGGUGUAACAUCAUUCCCCCCUUUGGAACAUUCGUCCUCGAAUGCUGACUGAUGUGCUUAUCAGUCUCAUAACCUAUAGCUCUUACGUAUACUUUAAUAUUGUCCUUGCUAUCUAGGCAUUGUUCUGUGAAUAAAUUCAAAGCCCAAGGCAUUCCCCCAUUUAGGCCUCUUUCUCACACUACGACUUGUGGUCGGAAUCCUUUCAAUCUCGUAAAUGUUGCUACCUUCUAUCAUGCAACAUGUAUGACUCUGACUUUGUAUAUGCACCUAUGUGACUCUUCUCUCCUUUUUCCUCUAGCUGUUAGCCAAUCUCUAUGCCACACUUUGUGAACAUAUACAAAACUAUGACAAGCUGUCCCUCAGGGCAUUUAUAGGUGUACUGAAGUUCUUCUCUCGGUACUUUGUCGAACGUACGACCAUUACUAUAUCUUGUUUCAUAGCCUCGAUUAUAUAUGCUUAUAACUUUAAUACAUCUAGGUCGGUUAUACUAUACCAUAACACUUAGUUCAGUUUAUUAUUACCGAGGUCUUCUACCCUACUCCAGGUUACUCUCUAGCUGCUUAUCCUGUAUGUAUAAAUCUAAGUCCCUUAGUUCUUCUUCAUUACUGUUCAUCUUAAGAAUGACGGCCUAAUCUUAUCUCAUACUUUGUAACUUUUAUCCAUCCAUUGUUGAUUCACCUUAAUGUUGAUCCAUAAUCAACCAUUGAUAACUUGAAACCUCUUAUGUAAUACAUUGUCACUAGGACUCACGUCUCAUUGGGGAACAUUUGAAGUGAUUUGCCUGAUCCACUUAGGGAUGAUACUAUACUUCAAUAACCAUAUUUCAUAGCAUCCCAACGUGAUUCAUCAUAUGGGUUUUAAUCCCGUGCAAUUCAUGAAAUCCCUUUUCUCAAAAUCAUUACUCAAUCAAAGUCCUACACGUCAUUCUCUUAUCUAUCACCAUUACACCCUUAUUUUACUACCAGGGCAACAUUUCAUCUCUUCUAAUUGCUCCUAGUCUUAGACUCCUCUAAGUUCAUUCAGGCUGUACCGAGCUUUCUAUAACUUACGGAAGCCAUCAUCUCUCUUGUUUUGAUGGGUUUAAUCCCGAGGACUUACCUAUUCUCAUCACAUUCUCACUCACCUUUUCUUAUCCUUACUCCUANNNNNNNNNNNNNNNNNNNNNNNNNCCUUUAACUUGCUAGCACCAUAGAUUUCCUUUCGUGCCUUCUCAGUUGCCUUUAAACGUAAGCAAUUACUUUUCCUGGUCGUUAUGCCACUUGUUGCAUGAAUAAAUGGUUUAUCUCAUUGCCCACGAAUACUAGAAUUUCCUAUAACUCAUAUGAUCUCAAAUAUCACCUUUUGAUUUUUUUUUCUUCUUCCCGUUCAUUAGCCACGAUAUGUGCCACUUUCUAAUGGAGUGCAUACAAUGUUGUUGUGAGACUGUUGUUACAAGACCAUUUCUUCUUUAUGUCACUAUGCUUAAGUUGAAGCCUUCUUCCUUAUUUUUCCUCAGCUAGUCUUUCUUUGUAGUACUUAAGGGAGACCCUUUGACUCCUGUAAAGCUGCGAGCUUAUUACAUUGUAUACCCUAAAGAAUUUUUGAUGUUAUUACUUGCCUAUAAUUAUCCUUAGUUAUUUACCUCCGUGCCCUUGUGCUCGUAGGGUUGCUUAUGAACUGAAAUUUUUGACUGUCGUCCCAGUGGCACCGUAUUUUAUUUUCGUAACACUUAUACGGUACCUUUAACAACCCCAACUCCUAUCUGAAUAUUUCUCAAGGAUUACGACGUCAUAUAUGCGAGACUGAAUUCCCUAUGUUGGGGUUCACUAUGUUUAUCUUGCACAAUCUGCUGAUUUGUCUGUAUCCUCUUGUCUAGCCAUAACUAGGCUCUUCCUGAAUCAGCUACUAACUACUCGUUGGUCCAUUCUCAUAUCUAUAUUCUACGUAAUCUCUCUUGGGUUAUGUCAUUUGUCUUAACUUACCCCUCACACUGGCUCCUUAUGUAUCAAGUGUUCAUUUGUACUUAUUUAUCAAUAACAUCUAGUGUUGGAACCCUUACUGCCUCUCCCCCGCGUCGUGCUUGCAUAAUAUUUUGGAGUCGUAUCAUAUCCGUAGGAUCUGAAUAAAUGCAAUUGCAUUCCUUUCACCUUUCUACCAUAUUCUUCCUUUACUAUUCCAUAGUUACCUGAACCACAUAACUCCGACUUAAUACCAUAUCACACCAUCUUCCCCCUUUAGGGGAGUAAUAACAUUUAAUGCUAUGAAGAUUUACCUAUACAUGUUUUACCUCUUCACAAUUGGCGUCUUUUCACAUCUUCAUGGACUCUUACUUGCAUAGCGGUAACCCUUUUGUACCAGGGAUACCUGAAUUUCUUACGCACGAAGGUGACACCCAGUGUAACUGGCACACUUAGUCCCUUAAGCUUAACUCUGCUCAUAGUGCUUGCUUUAGGGAACCGUCUUCCUGAAUGACCUUUAAAGGUUAUUCUUUUGUUAUCCAUUCUAUAAUUGCCGGAACGCGAUCUCUGAAAUUAUCACGAUGUCAACUGUUAUCAAAUCCUCCGGUCUCUAAUUCAUGUUCGAUUUUAUCUUGUUUACUAGACCAUGCUAAUUUCUGUUACUAUAUAGGUCUGACUUAGCCUCUGGUAAUCACGUUGGAGUCACCAACUCAUUUCUCGAAAUGAGGAUAUAACCUUUUGCCUGUACUCUUUUAUUGUCUCAAGGCCUGUCACCUCUUGUCUUUUCCUUCACUUGACUAUAGAUUCUGUCAUUGUGUCAUAAUUUGAUUUAUCGUUAUCACCCAUUUAUCAUAUCUCACUCAUAAUGCUUCAUUUACUGUCUUCUUAUUCUCCUAUCAUUUUAUUCUGAAAACUUUAACAAAACGUUCUUUCACUUUUAGCUCCCCCUGCUUCAUCUCACUGGUUCUUCGGGAUGCCUAACAUUCUCUUUUUUUUUUACUAGGGGCGGGAGUCAUACUAAGGUAAAUAUUUAUCCCUUCUAAGAUUCCGCUGCCUAUCUUCUGAAAUUUCUGAACAUUCUAGUAUUCAUAUAUGACUGUACUAUUCUAGAAUUCACCAUCUGGGUGUCUCACAAGGCGAUCUAUUACCACAUUUGCACUAUCCUUCGUAAAUGUUAGCUAAUGAUAAUAGUCCAUCCACAAUUUUGGGUUAUUCGAAUCCCAGCUGGAUCCUGAUAUCCCAUCCUUCUCCUAAACUAUAUUUGUUAGCUCUCAUAGGGCAUAACUGAGAUGGGUGUGGCCAAUUGUAUAUAUCUCUGUUACUGUAUUUCUUUGUCUGAAUUGUAAAUACUGAUAAUCUUUACUAACUGGGUACCUCAUACCCUUCUUCACCUUGCUUCUUUUACUUGUUGAAACUUAUAUAUACCUUCUGAUUCUGUUAUUGCUUUAUACCAUAUAGGUGGAUAGAUAUCCAUGCCUUAGGGUUCCUUAUCAAUAACUUUACACGUCUUAGUACACACAUGAUCUGCUGAAGGCCUCAGAUUUACUCUUCAUAAGUAUGAUGCAAAAUCGAGUUUCUCUUACUCAACUCUUCCACAAACACAUUCAAUCACUUACCAACUGUCUUUCUGGAUNNNNNNNNNNNNNNNNNNNNNNNNNGUCCUAAAUGCCCUGUAGCCUCCUUCUUAUAAGUGUGAUGCACAACACACCCAUAAACAAGACUCUACUAGAUACGGCUUGUAGACUCCCUAGGACAGAUCUGCUCUGAUACCACUUUUGUCAUGACCCAAAUCAGAGAGUUACGACGGGCACCCGGUGUCUUACUCAACCGAGUACCAACGUAACGUAUUUUUCUUAUCACCCCAUUAUAGGUAAAUGGGCCAGAAGGGCUACCAUUAGAUAACCAGAAUAAAACAUAAGGGAAUACUAGACAUAGGAUGACCCAACAUGAUAUAGAAACUUACACAUGUGACAUACGAGCCUAUAAGGCCGACAUGAUCAUUUGUACACUCAAAACACAGGCCGGUAAGGCCAUACAAGUAUCUAUAUACAUGACAUCUGUCUACAAGCCUCUAAGAGUACACAAACAUAAUAAAGGCCGGGAUAGGGCCCCACCAUACCAAUCAAUACAUGUCCAAAUUAUACUGACCAAAUAGGCAACUUCAAAGCAAUUAGAGUGCACCAACACUUUCUGCUGAGCUGAUAGCCUACUAGGAGGACUGUCAACCUGUAUAUCGAGACCUGCGGGCAUGAAAUGCAGUGUCCCCAGAUAAAAGGAAUGUCAGUACAAAUAAAGUACCGAGUAUGUAAGGCAUGAAAUCAGUAUAUAAAAGACAUGAAAAAAACAUGGAGUAAAGGACUCAACCUGUAAGUCUGAAUAGCUCUGUGAAUCAUGAAACAUUUAUAAUGUCAUGCAUGUGCGUAUAAAUGUCAUAUCAUGCAUAUGUAUAUGCGUACAUAAAAUCAUCAAGCCUCUGAGCGCAACCCAUCAUAUCAUCCCGGCCUCUGUGGGUGAAAUUAUCAUCGUAUACCAGCUGAUCAAGUGGUGGUGCAUAUAUAACGCCGUAACCUUUCCACAUACCCCAUAUAAAUAUAAUAUACGCGUAUAUAACGUCAUUUAGUCAUGCGUAAAUGUACAUGUAUAAAUGAAUGGAAUGCAUAAGAAGUAAGUCAAUAAGAUCUCUCGAGAUGUCAAAAGAUCAAUAUGCCUUAGGUUAAUAUCAUGAAAUAAACUUUAUCAACUUAUGUAUUUUCUGAGACCCAUGAACAUGCGAUAUAAUAAUAGGACACAUGGGGAAUCAAGAACCUAGGCACCCCUAGCACUUCUAAGAAUAAAGUCAAUCGUGAAAGUUCUGCAUUUGCUUGUUUUGAUUGUAUCAUAUGGAUCAUGCCAAAAGGAAAGAAGGGAUAGCCUUAACAUACCUUAUAGAAAUAUGUCCAAUAACAAUGCUAAACUCAUCUCACUGCACCAUAAUCUAUAACAAUGUCAGUGAAGCUAUUGUCAUGUUAUGAAUGACUCUCUCAUUUAUAUAAAUAAAGUAACUUAAUCUGUAACAAAAAAGGGCAGUAUAUCCCCUGAUUUUACUGCUCCCUCAAGCCUACUAUAGGUGAGACAACAACACAAUACAAUCAGCAACUCAAAAACAACUUAACUAUAAUUUGGGACAUUUAAUACAACAAAAACCCCAAAUAUACCAUAACACACCCAAUCAACAAGUUAUCAAGUAGCUUGAAACUGCAACGACGAGCGACCAAACUACUACCCUACCGCAUGUGGCAUUUAUCCACGCCCUUUAUCCUUAAAAACUCCAUAAAUUGGCAGCACAAGAGGCCAACAUGAGUGGACUACAAAAUAAUUCACUAAAAGUGAAAUAAAUAUUCGAACUCACGGCUUUCGAUCACCGUCCUGUGCGUUCUAACUAUUAGGAAACGAAUUUAUCAACCUUCCUUGAUAUUUAAAAGCUUAAUUACAGAAAGUAGGAAUUUUCUUAACUAUGAAGUACCUUCCAAAACUCAAACUACAAAGAAAAAGAGAUGUGAUAUAACGAUACUUACGUCGUAGGGAUCGUUCUAAUGUUAUCGCUUCUUGAUUUCGUACAUGGGAUGUUAAUCUUCUUUGAAACCCUUGUAGAGAGCUUAAAGGUACGUUUAUGGUCUUAUUUUGGUCGUGUUAUGUGGAAAAAUGAAUAAAGAGACGACAUAAGGGAUAUAUAUAUCCACUUUUGAAAAGUUAAAAAGAUGCUAGCUUGGCACCUUAACAUUGGCCCUUCUUCCGACGCUUGUAUCUUUUUAUCCGGAUGUCGUAUCAACAAAUGGUUAAGAGCUUGGAAACUAAAUUCCAAGACCUUUAAUUUGGUAUAUAAUAUGUCCCAAAAUACCUCAUAUAACACACGAAAUGUAUUGCUAAAAAAGCUUUAUUAUAAGGCAAAUCCUUAGUCGGUUUUUCCGCAACUUAAAUCCGAUUUUUUUCAAACUUUAUAUUUUGUACCCAAAUAUCAUAUAUGGUCAUAUUAUGACUUUACACUCAUUUGAAUCAUGAUUAACAAGUCUCAUAUUCAUUAUACGUCACCUUGGGAUGCACAAGGUGUAACAAAUUCCAAGUAUAUUGGGAGAAAAUUGCAGCUACAUUUGACCUAAUUUUCAGCACAUUUAUGAAUGUAACUUGUGAUGACCUUUACCAAAUUUUGUUCCAAAACUCGCUUGACUUUAAAAUGUAAUACAUGACUAUCAUACGACUAAAGUAACUCAUAGCAUAACCUCCUUAUCAUGUUAAGAACCCUAUUCUUAUCCCAAGAGUACAUGUUAUAAUAUUUCCAACUUGUCGACUUUCAACAAAACUUAUUUUCUUCAGUUUGUUUAGCUUCUAAGUCUUUCAGCCCUCUUGGUACUUGUUAUUCAUGAUAUUAAAGAUUUGUAACCUCCAAGGUAACUUGAUUAACUUACCUUAUGUACUUUCAAAAAUGACCUCAUUUUUGAGCUUACAUCAAUUGUCUUACGAUGUACUCUUACGUACGAAAAUAUGGGGUGUAACAGAAUGACUAAUACGCUGCACCUAUACGAUCUUCACGUGGGAUAUGCUCCCACAACCUUCCGCACCAGGUAGUCAAAUCUGAACAUCAAUGGAUAUAGACCAUGCUAUUUCUAUAGGGCAAGUCAAGCAUCUACAUUUCAAUACCCAACACUUCUUCCACAACCCAACCAUUCUCAGGCUGCCCAAAAAUAGUGGCAGCAUACUCUAAACAUCUGAAAUCCUCCCCUGCUCCUCCGAGCUUAUGACAUUCAUAUCAAAACCGAACCGCAACCUUGAUCCUCAACUUCCAACUUCCAUACCGCUCACUUCACCUAUCAUUCCGCUACACGAGAGUACAAGAAUUUCAUCAUAACCCCUGAACCACCAAUAAAAUAAACACUUCAUCGGCUAGAUCCCUUUUCACUCAACUCAUUUCGGAAGAAUAAUUGCAACACACAACCGAAUUCCCAUAAUCACAGAAAAAUGCAAACCUCAAGUUGUAGUCUAAACUGCCAUAACUCUUCCGGAAUCCAUUUACACAUAACAGAACCUUCAGAAUCAAAUACUUCCAAAUCAAUCAAAUCACGGAGGCUGUCACGCCCGCACGUACGACUAUGAAUCACCUGUAUAGACUUAACACACUGAAGGAACUGAUCAUUUCCACAACAUGCUGAUUCAAACCAUUACGAACUGACUCAACUUCUUCCAACUUAUUCUUAACUUGCCUUUGAAAUAAUAGUUUUAUUCAAACACAUAACGUACCUCAAACAACACUCAUCCCGAGUGACCCAAAUCACGAGAUCACAUCGUUUUAAUACCCAUCCGCUAUCUCAUACCCUCCUUAUGCACUCAACUAAUACACCCGUGCUGAAAGACCUCUUGCGAAUCCGAAGCUAUUUCUUCAAUUUCUCUAACACUGCACCGUAAACCCAAUGAUAACAUAGAAAUUCCCCAAGUAUUUUUCACAUUCUACUGCAAAACCCAGCCCUCAGCCACAUAACGAACCCAAAUCUUUAAAUACCGCACUUUAGUCCUUGAACCCACUAGAACCAUUGUUGAGAGUCACCCAUUCUGACCUGGUCCCGAAUAUGUAGCCAAACUCUAGUGCUCUGCUAGCACAUGAACCCUUCCAAAGAAGAAACCAGAUGAAUUCUUUUCCUUGCACAUCACAUCCACAAGAAGCAUAUAUUCUGAAUCAUCCCCAACACCUGCACAUGAAUCGAUAAGGCGAAAUGUAACACAUAUACGUCAAAUUCCUUGUCGAAAAUACCAUUAAUGGUUUUCUCCUCUUGGUCAUAAGUAAUCCACCAAUGCACCGAAAAUAGGAAACUACACAGGCACACAACCACGUGACCCAAUUGUAGAUGGUGGGCUCCCACACUUAGCUUUACACUGUAAUCACAUAGAUCUAGACCCCACAACGACUUCUUCUUUCCAGUUACCAUGACCCUACACCGUUACUCGACCAACUUCUCGCAAGCUAUCGUUGCACCAAUCAUAACACAACUCGAAUUAUCAGCCACCACCACACACUCAACCUCCUAGGUGUCAUACCGUCUUCUUCGAGCGACCCAAGCUCAUAUCGUAGUACAUGCACCCAUGCUGGGCAGAAAGUAGAACUUUUCAUAGGAACCUCAUCUAAACCACGCAACCGCUAACAUACUCACAGGAGGUAGCCCACAUGUGUACCCUCAUAUCGACCUCCUUCAACAUCAUUGCUAUAGUUACAUCCAUCAUGAAAUCAAUUAAUCUCCCUGGGUCCACACUGAUCCGCCGGCCAUAAGGAUCUUUUCAUUCAUUAACAUUACCCGAAGGUCCAACAAUAUGUUUGAAACUCGAGCCGUACUACAUCCAAAACAAUGAUCUAAUACUCACUCCUACCUUCCAAUCAAGCCCUUCUCGUCACAUUCCAGAUUCCUAAGCACAGAAACCACCUCAGAGAUCAUCUCCAUCAAACCAUCGACACUGGAAAUGCUGAUUCGAUCCUGAUGUCACAACGCACAACCAUCUCUGAUAACUUCUUGUUAGGUUCCAUCUCACAACAUCGUGCCCAGAGGCAAACAAAUAAAGACCAACAUGCCGAUGAGCCUCAAUGCAUUCAAUCAAGGAUGGCGAUACCACAAUAUUGACAAGAAUCCCACCAAAUUCGAAAAUAUCAAAUCUCAACCGUAGGCAACAGCAACACUGGGACAAAAUGACAGAACACCCCUCCACAAGGCGACAGUAAUAGCCCACUCGAAUACGCAUAGAGAAACAUCCUGCACCAUAUCUGCAGUACCAUUACAGCUCCUCGAUGCCUAAUUGAUAACAAGCGCUCAACAUUGUAUAAGAAUGAGUAGAAACGAAAUAAAGGCAUAAGCUUCAAUGGAAUCAAAUCGCAUGACAAGGAAUCAAGAAGGGAAGUACUCCUAACAUCCCUGUAGCCUCUCGAAGAUAAGUACAUACGUCUCCGUACCGAUCAACAAGACUCUACUAGACUCGCUCAUGACUCCUGAAACCCAAGUGAAGCUAGCGCUAUGAUACCAAGCUAUCUCGACCAAAAAUCUACUAUAGGCCGUGAUGGCGCCCAACGUUGCUGUUAGGCAAGCGAACGGUGAACCAUCUAAAUAAUUAUCCAUUUUUAAUUUUUAAAAAUUAGUAAUUUCAUAAAAUAAAUAGAAUAAAAUGUGGCAUUCAUAGGAACCUUUGCUUUUCUUUACCAAGUUUCGAAUGUAAAUAAAUCAUAAUGUGAAAUGAUAAUAAUAACGUGAACUACAAUAAUGAACAUCCACUAGGAACCCCCAAAAUCCGGUGUCACAAGUGCAUGAGCAUCUACUAGGAAGUACAAUAACAAUACAACAUCUGUCUGGAAUACAAGAUAGAUAUGAUAAAGUAAACAAUUAUGAUGGAAACUCUGUGUGUUGCGAAUCAUAGCAUGGAAAUGCAACUCACCAUAAAGUCCCCUCAACAGCUGCACUUAUGCGCCCAAAUAGACACCAAAUGAACCUGUCAGAUCCUGCACAUUUAGUGCAGAAGUACAACAUGAGUACGUAAAUCAAUGUGUACCCAGUAAGUAUCUAGCCUAACCACGAAGAGGCAGUGAUGAGGGGUCGACAUUGACACUUACUAGUGGUCCAGUAAAUCAAAUAUAGAUAAGUAGAGAAGUAUGAAACAUGGUAAGUAAACAAUGAGUACGGAUGUAGGCAAAUAAUAUGAUCUACACCUGAAAAGUGAAUGCAAAGUCCUCAAAUACUGGAUACCUCUCAAAUGGAGUACGUAAUGGUCAACACCAAAUCAACGGUCACAUCUCAAGUUUGGAAAACUUAUGCGUACGCAGACUUCUUAUCAAGUAUUUCGCACGAUUCUGCCGAGGCGAGCGGCCCGAUCCCAUAAGAGUGUUUCAUAGAAAUGUCGAGGCGAACGGACGAUCCCAUAAGAGUGUGAUGCAUAAUCCUACCGAAGCGAUCGACUUGGUCCCAUAAUAGUGUGAUACAUAGCCAUGCCAAGGAGAACAACCUGAUCCCAUAAGAGUGUGAUACAUAAUCCUGUCGAGACGAACAAUCCUAUCCCAUAAGAAUAUGUUACUUUGCCAAGAUGAACGACCCGAUCCCAUUAGAAUAAGAAGCUUUAACAGGUCCAUGACCCCACUCACGAAUAUAUGUGUGAGUUUUGAAAUUUUAAGGAAACCUUUUGAUGAAUACGCACAACGCGGAAGAAAUUCGUAAUGGAAGCACAAUUUCUACGGCUAAUCAAGUAGCUCAUCAAAUGACUAAAAUAGUGAGUCCAUUACUCUAUGCGAGUCUAGUCUAUGGUCAUAAUGCGACUCAGAGUAAGUAAACAUGUAAGAAUAACUCAAAUAGUACAACUAAAGCAUGUCAUGAAUCUAAGUCUACUCGGACAUAAUAAGAAAUUCUAACAUAUGCACGGACACUCAUCACUUCAUACGUGCGUAGAUCCCACAACCUGUAGCAUAUAAUAAGAAUAACACCUACGGGGUAAAUACCCCCUCACAAGGUUAGGCAGGAGACUUACCUCGCUCUAAAGUUCCAUAAUUGGCUCCAACGCCUCUCUAGCACCUCAAACAAAUGCCCAUCGAUCAGAAAAUAGUCAAACAAUCAUGAACACCAAUAAAAAUAUACUUAAACACUCAUAAUUAAUUAAUUUAUAAAAAUUCCCAACUUCGCUAGAAAAGUCAGCAAAGUUAACCCCUGGCCCACGUGCUCGGUUUUCUAAAAUCUUCAAAGAAAAACACUACCCAUAACAUCACGAACUCAAAUAUAUAAUUUAUUCACAAUUCCAUGUCCAAUUUCGUGGUCAAAAUUCAAAAAUACUGAAUUUUAGGUUUUUUCCCAAAUACCACAAUUUCUACAAAAUUUCAUGUUUAAAUCCUCGUAGAACCCAUGUAAUUAACUAAAAAUAUGUGGAAAUUACUUACCUUGCCAUAGAUGAUAAAAAUCUCCUCUUCAAGCGCUCCAAAAUUGCCCAUACAAGUGAAAAUGAGAGAAAAAUGAACCACAUCCCGUAUAAAAUCAAGUCUGCCCAGGCCUACUCUUCUUCGCGAUUGGUGAAAAAGCCUCGUGAUCGCGAAGGCUAACUCCUCCCAGCUGCCCAACUACUCUUCGCGUUCGCGACCACCUAAUCGCAUUCGCGAUGCCCCGCUGACCCUGCUCUUUGCGUCCCCGCUUCACCCCUCGCAUUCGCGAAGGCCUUCUACCUCGCAGCCACCCAGCUCCCAGCCUUCUUCGCGUUCGCGAAGCAGGACAAGGUCCUUCUCCGCGUUCGCGUGAGCCUCCUCGCGUUAGCGAAGAGAAAAAUAAGGGCCCUUCAUCAGCCUUCUUCGCGAUCGCGGGACUAUCUUAGCGAUCGCGAAGCACACCAGCACACCAACAACAUCAAAGCAUCGAAACUUGGUCCGAAACCACCCCGAAUCACACCCAAGGCCCCGUCCAAUCACACCAACAAGUCCCAAUACCCUGUCCAAACUUAUCCAAAGGCUAGAAACGCCACGAAUAAUAUCAAAAUCAUAAAUCGACGAUCAAAAUAUUUCUUUCAAUUUUCAAACAUUUAAACUUUGACGAACGCACCCGAACCAUAUCAAAACAUUCCAGAAUGAUGUCAAACUCUACGUACAAAUCAUAAAUCACGUUACGAACCUAUUCCAAGGCUCGGUAUCCCAAAUGAAUAUCGAUAAUGCCAAAGUCUACUUCAAACCAAACAUAGGAAAUUCUAAAACCUUCAAAAUGCCAGCUUUCCAUAAUAAGCCCGAAACUCAACCCGAACAUACAUCUAAGUCCGAAAUCAUCAUACAGACCUAUUGGAACCUUCAAAUUUUGAUUCCGAGGCAGUUUAUCCAAAAGUCAAACCUUGGUCAUCCCUUCCAACUUAAAGCUUUCGAAUUAAGAAUUUUUCUUCCAAAUCAACUCCGAACUUCCCGAAUUUCAAUUUCGACCACACGUAUAAGUCAUAAAACAUGAAGUGAAGCUAUUGAAGACCUCAAACUGCUGAACGAUGAACUAGAGAUCAAAACGACCGGUUGGGUUAUUACAGGGGCCCUGUUCCGACCAUAGUACAUCCAUCAAUAAAGGCCUAUAGACAUAUCCUGUCAGUUAAUGUAGUAUGUUGGGCUUGUAGGCCUUGUAUUUAUUUAUUUUUGGUUUGUCAGUUGAACUUUUUAUGACAGUCUUGCCGGCCCAACUUUAUAUUGAUGUUCAGUUAGAGCUAGUCUCCAUUUAGUUUUAUAUUUUGUUUCACAAAUUGUCCUACAAUGUGGCCUUAUGGCCAAAGUAUCACAUUGUAUGUCUAGAGACCCUUAGUCUCAGGUUGGUAUGCUCGGUCAAGUGAGGCACCGGGUGCCGGUCUCGCUUCCCAGGUUUGGGGCGUGACAAAUUUAGUAUCCGAGCAGUUCUAUCCUACAGAGUCUACAAGCCGUGUCUAAUAGAGCCUUGUUUAUAGAUGUGUUGUGCACCACAUUAUAUAAACAGGAAGAUACAAGACAUUUAGGAGUCUGUUUCCCUUUUUUUCAAAUCUAAAUCGUGCCAUAGAGUUAAGUCAUAAGAGUUUGAGGCAGGACUUAUGUUUGUUAAUGAUAUAGAGAUGCUUGCAAUUAGAAAAAUUAUAGCUAGCUAGAGGGAUGGUACAACAAUAGGUAAGGGCACUAAUAGAGAGAGACUUCUUGACGACGUGGCCCUGUUUGAGGCCCUAUCAGAUUGUGCACACCAGAUGUGCGAAUUUCCAGCUUAAUACCCUAAGAUGGGAAUAUUAAACACACCUCGUGAAUAGAAAGCCAUGGGAGUAUCUGAAGGUAAAAGUAUAAGUUUCAAUAGGUAAUAGAAGCUAGGUGAAGUAGGGUACGAGGUACCCAGUUAGUGAAGAUUAUCAGUAUUUACAAUUCAUGCAGAGAAAUAUAAGAAUUCUGAGUUACCUUCAAGAGUAAUUUAGGUAUGUACAACUGGCCACACCCAUCUCAGUUAUGCCCUAUAUGAGCUAAACAGAUAUAAUUUAAGAGAAUGAUGGGAUAUUAGGAUGUAGCUGGGUUAGAGUAACCCAAAAUGUUGGAUGGAUUGUUAGCGUUAGAUGACAUUUCCAAAGGAUAUUGUAAACAUGAUAAUAGUUUUCUUUUUGAUACACCCAGGUGGUGCACUCUAGAAUAGUACAGUCCUAUAUGAAUUCCAGAAUGUUCAGAAAAUUGAGAAGAUAUGCAUUGGCAUCCUAGGAUGGAUAAAUAUUUACCUUAGUAUGACUUCCGUCCCUAGUAAAGAGAGAAUAUUAGUUGACUCGAAGAGCCAGUGAGAUUGAGCAAGGGGAGCUAAAGUGAAAGAAUGUUUCGUUGAAGUUUUCAGAAUAAGGUAAUAGACAAAAAUAUUAGCAGGUGAAUAAAAAAAGAGUAAUUAAAUCAUUUGGAGUAAGAUGUGAUAAUUGGGUGAUAAUAGUAAAUAAAAAAUAUGACAGGAUGAUAUAGUCUAUAGUCAAGUGCCGGAAAAGACAAGAGAAGACACGCCUUAAGACAAUAAAAGAGUAUAAGCCAUAAAGUCAUAUCCUCAUUUCGAGAAAAGAGUUAAUGACUCCAACGUGAUUACCAGAAGGAAAAUUUAGACCCCGGAGUAAUAGAUUUCAGUAUGGGCUAGUGAACAAGAUAAACUGAACAUGAAUUAGGGAUCAGAAGAUGUGAUAAUAGUCGACAUUAAGAGAAUCUCCGCGUUCCGGCAAUAAUAGAAUGGAUAACAGAAGAAUAACCUUUAAAGGUCAUUCAAGAAGGCGCUUCCCUAAAACAAGCAAUGCGAGCAGAGUUAAGCUUAAGGGACUAAGUGUGCCAGUUACACUAGGUGUCACGCUCGUGCACAAGAAAUUUAGUUAUCCUUGGUACAAAAGGUUACCGCGAGGCGAGUAAGAGUCAGUAAAGAUGUGAAAAGGCGCCAAAGAUGAGGAGGUAAAACAUUUAUAGGUAAAUCUUCAUAGUAUUAAAUGUUAGUACGCCCCUAAAGAAGGGAAGAUAGUAUGAUAUAGUAUUAAGUCGGAGUUAAGUACUUCAGGUAACUAUCGAAUAGUAAAGGAAGAAUGCAGUAAAAAGGUGAAUGGGGUGAGAUUGCAUUUAUUCAGAUCCUACAAAUAUGUUAUGACUCUAGAAUAUUCUGCAAACACGGCAUUGGGGAGAGGCAGUAAGGGUUCCCGCCUAGGAUGUUAUUGAUUAAUAAGUGUGAAUGAACACUUGAUACAUAAGGAGCCAGUGUGAGAGGUAAGUUAAGACAAAAAAAAAAUUACCCAAGAGAGGUUACACAAAAUAUAGAUAUGAGCAUUGACCGAUGAGUGGUUAAUUGAUUUAGGAAAAGCCUAGUUAUGGCUAGACAAAAGGUCUAAGAUAAAUUAGCAGAUCAUGAAAGACAAAUGAAGUGAAACCCAACAUAGGAAAUUUAGUCUCGUAGAUACAAGAUGGUAAUCUUGGAGAAAUAUUCAGAUAGGAGCCGGGGUAGUUAAAGGUACCGUAUAAGUGUUAUGAAAAUAAAGAGAGUGUCAAUGGGUAGACAGUCAAAAUUUCAGUUUAGAAGUAACCCUACGAGCAUAUGGGUGCGGAGGUAAGUAACUAAGGAUAAUUAUAGUUGAGUAAGAACAUAAAAAAUUCCAUCGGAUAUAAAAUGUAAUAAGCUCGCAGCUUUACAAGAGUCAGAGGGUCUCCCCUAAGUACUACAACAAAAGACUAGCUAAGGAAAUAAGGAAGAAGGCUUCAACCUAAGCAUAGUAACUUGAAGAAGAAAUGGUCUUGUACUAAUAGUCUCGCUGCAACAUUGUAUGCACUCCGUAAGAAAGUGGCACCUAUAGUGGCUAAUGAACGGGAUGUAAAAAUCAAAAGUGAUAUUUGAAAUCAUACGAGUUACAGGAAAUUUCAAUAUUUGUGAGCACUAAGAUAAGCCAAGUAUUUAUGCAGCAAGUGGCAGAACGACCAGAAAAAGUAAUUGCUUAUGUUUAAAGACAACUGAGACGGAACGAAAGGAAAUCUAUGAUGCUAGCAAGUUAAAGGAUGGUCAUGGGUAGUAUAAAUAGAUAUGUGUAGGUUGCAAGAUAAAGUAUGGUAGAGUGACAAGGUUUUAGGUAGAUAGGAGUAAGGAUAAGGAAAGGUGAUUAAGAAGAUGACAAGAAUAGUUAGGUCCUCGGGAUUAAGCCCAUUAAAUAAGAGAGCUGAUGGUUUCUGUAAGUUAUAGAAAGCUCAGUAUAGCCUGAACAAACUCGAAGGAGUCUAAGACUAAGAGAAUUUAGAAGAGAUGAAAUGCUGCCUUGGUAGUAAAAUAUCAUAUGGAAUUAGAGUACCCCCCAUAAGAUGAACCACGUUGGGAUGCUAUGAAAUACGUUUAUGGAAGUAUAAUAUCAUCCCUAGGUGGAUCAGGUAAAUCACUUCAGAUGUUCCCGAUGAGACGCGAGCCCUAGUGACACAGUAUUACGUAAGAGAUUUCAAGUUAUCAGUGGUAGAUUAUAGAUCAACAUUAAGGUGAAUCAAUAAUAUAUGGAUAAAAGUUCCAAAUUAUGAGAGGAGAUUAGGAUGUCAUUCAAAGAACAACAACAGAAGCAUCGAAUUUUGGAAUAUCCAGAUAACCAAUAUCUAAGAACUACUGAAAAAUCAAAUUCCAAUCCUAAAGCUGCAAAGCUGACCAGAAACUCUAUCUCUACUGAUACUGGGCAAAAUGCCACAGGGACAAAAUAAAGUACCAUUGACUGGGUUCAAAGGAGCUUUGGAAUGCAUAAGGAAACACUUAAUGUGACCCUCAAUCACUCAUGUCAGGAAAUACCAUCUCAGACAUUUGUGGAAUCACCUAAUUUAAAUGGAAAAACUACAAGCUCUAUACAACUAGGGAGAGAUGAAGUAAGUUCAGAGGUACAUACAAGACUAAGACUUGAUGAUCAAAGAGUUAAUUCAAUGCCAGCAUAGGUUAAUACAGAGGUAUCUAGGAAGGCUUUGGACAACAACAAAACUGGGGAACUAGUAGCCAACGUUGAAGGUGCAAUGGUAAUAUUACCAGACAAGGAGCAGGUCAGUACUGCUGAUGCAGAGACAGAUCACUGUCACACCCCUUUUUAUUCACCUUAACCCUCUUUAAAAGAUAAAAAGUGAUUUUAAAGCUCAAAGGAUUCCAAUUUGAAAAAUGACAAAAGAUGUGUUAAAAAGGAUUUCUUAGAGUCACCACUUGACAUUUGAUUUUGAUGUGUCAAGUCACCGUUUUUAAAAAUAAUAAUUUUUUCCUUUAAAAUACAUUUAGACUCUUAAACAAAUUCUGUACCAGAGAUUCUAAGUAAGGGGGUUCAUUUGACUGGGGAAGAAGGUGUUAGGCAUUCCCCAAAUCCCGUGAAGCUCACGUCACAGUUGCAUACAUGAUCUAGUUGGAUUUAAAGGCUACUCUAAUUGAGGUUAAAUACACAAAAAUAAAAUAGACAUAAAAAGGUUCGAGGUUGUCCCCACCUAAUAAAGGAAGAUAAAAUAAAAAUAAAAAUAAAAAUAAUAAUACUACAAUCUUAUAUUACGCCUCCUCAAUGUCGUCCCAUCUUUGGCCUCCAAUUACUUGAUACUACGGGGUAUUUCCCGGAUAAAAUAAUAACUAAGGGACUACGUCUAACCUCAAUAAAUAAAUAAACAACCUAACAUUUGGCUACCCAAGUGUUGACGGCCUAACAUGCUCCUAGCGAUCGAAUUAAUAAAGCAAAAUAAAGAACUAAAAAGAAUCAUCUAAAGCUCAAAUUAUUAGAAUCGGUCAGUUCUCUGCCAUAACCAUUUUUCCUUAAGAAGUUCAAAUAUGUUUUUGCUCUUUAAAUCUGACAGACUCCCACGGCCCAUUUAUCAUUAUAACCUAUGAAUAAGACCUAUUUUCAUUAUCUAAACUUUGUUUAACAAUGAAUAACUCCCAUCUUCCCAAACUAAAGUAAAUACAUCAACUUAAUCACAUCACCCAAAAAUCAUAUGCCAAACAAACGAAAUGUAAUAAAAAAUUUAGGGAUGGACCUCAGUUGAUAUUAUUAAACACAGAACCCGACAAGAUGGACGAGCUUAGACCGGAUCCUUGCACGCCACCUCGGACGGACCUCGACUCUUUACCGAUGAUUGAAACGGAUGACUGCUGCCACCGAAAUUUCCGCCGGGAAAACUGGGUUCAUCGGCAAGAUGAAGUUGAUAGCAGAAACUCGAUUUUAUGUGGUUUUCAAGGUGUUUGAAGGUUGUUUCGAUGGAGGCAGUGACUGGUUUUAGAACUUAUUUAAAGUGGUAAAUUUACAUAGUAUGUUAAGAGUGGUAUUGGCUCAUUUUUUGAAUGAUAGGCAUGAUAUGGGUGUUGUUAAUUCAUGAAAAAUGGAAGAUCCCCAGACUCGGACGUUUGGUGAAAGGUUUUAUGAUGCAGGAAUUAAUUUCUUCUCAUAAUCUCUCCUCUUUUUUUCUCUGUCCGUUCCCCUCACUCUCACUCCUUAAAAUCCUCUCUCCCCGUCAAAAGUGUUGCCCCCACUCAAACUCUCUCUCCCGAAAAUCCUCUCCUCCCCUUAAAGUCUUGUCCCCACUUCCUCUCUCUUCGCUUUCCGUUCCCUCUCUGUGUGUGAAUAUUCCCCGUUUCUUUUUGAAAUUCUUGGGCAAGAAGAAAGAAAAAUGGAUGAAAAUGUGUGGACCCCUCUGCCAUGUGAUUGUGUGUGCUUUUGUGCGUAUGAGUGAAUUGUGAGAUUGUGCAAAGGAGUUUGUUAUCCAAUUUUGUCUUUU